GACAGAGGGGGCAAGCGUUGCUCGGAAUUACUGGGCGUAAAGGGCGCGUAGGCGGGAUGGCAAGUCGGUCGUGAAAUCCCUCGGCUCAACCGAGGAACGUCGAUCGAUACUGCUGUUCUUGAGGAUUGCAGAGGAGACUGGAAUUCCCGGUGUAGUGGUGGAAUGCGUAGAUAUCGGGAGGAACACCAGUGGCGAAGGCGGCUUCCUGGACCGGUUCUGACACUGAGGAGCGAAAGCGUGGG
rnacentral:rRNA from 1 species